rnacentral:rRNA from 1 species
UACGGAGGGUGCAAGCGUUGUCCGGAUUUAUUGGGUUUAAAGGGUGCGCAGGCGGCGCGCUAAGUCAGUGGUGAAAUCCCGCAGCUCAACUGUGGAACUGCCAUUGAUACUGGCGUGCUUGAGUACGGACGAGGUAGGCGGAAUUUAUGGUGUAGCGGUGAAAUGCAUAGAUACCAUAAAGAACACCGAUAGCGAAGGCAGCUUACUAGACCGUAACUGACGCUCAUGCACGAAAGCGUGGGGAUCGAACAGG